rnacentral:rRNA from 1 species
GACGAACGCUGGCGGCGUGCUUAACACAUGCAAGUCGAACGGUGAGGCUCCAAGCUUGCUUGGGGUGGAUCAGUGGCGAACGGGUGAGUAACACGUGAGUAACCUGCCCCGGACUCUGGAAUAAGCGCUGGAAACGGCGUCUAAUACUGGAUAUGACAUCAAGCCGCAUGGUUAUGGGGUGGAAAGUUUUUCGGUCCGGGAUGGGCUCGCGGCCUAUCAGCUUGUUGGUGAGGUAAUGUCUCACCAAGGCGACGACGGGUAGCCGGCCUGAGAGGGCGACCGGCCACACUGGGACUGAGACACGGCCCAGACUCCUACGGGAGGCAGCAGUGGGGAAUAUUGCACAAUGGGCGAAAGCCUGAUGCAGCGACGCCGCGUGAGGGAUGACGGCCUUCGGGUUGUAAACCUCUUUCAGCAGGGAAGAAGCGAAAGUGACGGUACCUGCAGAAGAAGCACCGGCUAACUACGUGCCAGCAGCCGCAGUAAUAC